AUUUAUUCAGUUUUUUCUUUAGUAUUGAUAUUUUCUCAAAUAUACAGGCUUUGCAAUUUCUUAAUACACACAGGACUCUUUGCAAAAUCCAAUUUCAGUGGUAUGCCUACAUACGGGGGGUGUUAUUAUCUCAGUCUAAAAUAGACAUAAGGAAAUCAGCAUAGAGUUCUGUAUGACAUAAUAAGAAGAGUGUUCCAAACUGGUGUUUUAAUAAUGAUCACUGACCACUCUGCAAAUGAGUUAUUGUGCAG